rnacentral:sRNA from 1 species
CUUGAAGUGGGGGCUUGAAAAAAGCCUUUAGUUGUCUAGCCUAAGUUUUACGAAAACUACGUUGGGAUGGUGAUCACACCCUCGGAUGAUUCCCUAGUCCGUUGCUCUGU